UGUGUCGUGACGAAGCAGUGACGCGGACCGAAGCGGGAUUAUCGAUGUUCAGAGGGAGAUGAUGCCACAUCUGGUCCAGGUGAUGGAAGGUCUUGAAGUUCUCUGACUGGCCUGGACUGAAGAUGGUCGUCUCACUGGAUUUAAGGUUCAGAUGCUCAGUAACAAACUCCACCAAUGAGCCAACAGGGAAGCUUUAGGUUUAUUAAAUGUUGCUAUGAAGGUUUCGCUGUUUUUCUUUGUGAAUGCAAUGUGCUCCAGCUGAAACUUGAAUUAGAACUUAGAAGUAAAUCCUUCCAUCUGAAAGGAUUUAGUUGCAUUAAUAACCUCAUAACAUUCUAAUUUUUAUUCCAGUCUUGGUUGGAAAUAGAAUCUCUGUAUUGAUUCAGGUAAAAACUGAACUUCACAGCAUGUUGGAGCAAAACAACCAGAUGAAAACUGUGAUGGUGUUGGAUUGUCAGACCGUAAUGUUGCAGCUCAAAGCAGCUUUUCUAGCUCAGUUCAUUCUGACAUUCAGCUAUGAAUCAACACAGCAGAUGGUGAUCCAUGCUGUGGAAAUCUCACAUCUCCUGAUUUAAUGGAGCUGCUUUACACUUUUUGCACUGUUUAUUCACCAACACUUUAUUUGAUAAAAGUCCCAUCUAGUUUUCAUGAGGAAUGUGAUGUUUUAAUUUCUCUGUGAAUAACUGCAGUCUAAUGGAACAGCUGGAGUUGUAACAUCUGUCCUGAUAAUGAUCAUGAAGUAUUGAUCAGAAUACUUAUGGUCAGCAGUCAUCCCUGAAGUUUUACAUUCAAAUCUUUACUUGUGUUGUGAACUUUGGUAAGAAGCAUAAACUUUAGUGUUGCCAUGGAUACAUGAGUGUUAAAUUCUGUCCAUGUUUCCAUUUUGGGAAAUUCAGUCCAGCAGAUGAGUUUGUUUUUACUGCCAGCUACCAUUCAGUCUGAGAUAUUAAGAAUAAAUAAAUGUGCAUAAUGUGGAAAUGAACAGAUUCUAUUUUUAUUUAUUCCUACAGCUGCUGCAGGGAAAGACCAGGCUUAAAACCUUCCUUUUUGACAAAGCUUAUAGUUAGGGCUGACUGGGGGACCCUGACGGGGUAUGCUGGUGUUUUCAUUUGCAAAACUGACUUCCCCUCUUGACGUCCCUUUAGUUUGCCCCUAGUUAUGCUGCUAUAGGCCUAGACUGCUGGGGAACCUCUCUGGAUGCACUGAGCUCUUCUCUAACUACCUAUGUAUUUACUACAUAUACCAUUAUUGCAUUACACUCACUCUGUUUCUCCCUGUGUCCUUUAUCUGCAUGUCCCUGGUCCCCUCUACCUCCACCUCUCUAUCUCUACCCCUCUAUCUCUACCUCUAUCCCUCUAUCUCUACCUUUCUACCUCUUCUGUCCCUCUCAACCCGCCUGGCCAGCAGCAGAUGGUUCCCCCACAUUAGAGCCGGGUUCUGCUCGAGGUUUUUUUCCCUGUUAAAGGGUGUUUUCCUGCCACUGUCUCCUGAGGGCUGCUCUGGGGGUUCAGGCAUAUGGGUUCUGUAAAGCGUCUUGUGACAAUUUGACUGUAAUUUGUGCUAUAUAAAUAAAAUUGAAUUGAAGUAAAGUUCCACAAUGUGCGGGAAUUUAGUCUCACAAUCACAGACUAUAAAUAUUAUUUCAAAGUCGGGUUAUUGUUGUUUAUCAGCACAAUACAAAAAGAUUAAUGUUGGACAUAUUCCAGUUAAGACUCUAGAAUAUCAUGAUUUAUAUAAAUUUACCUCAAUAAUAUGAAUGUUCAGGUUAAGAUUGUGCAGUGAUAUUUAUUAUGUAAGUUUAGCUGAUUAAAGUUUAUGACUCUGCACUACAAUAUUAUUUAUUACUUAGAUUUACAUCAUUAUUAUAAUAUUUAGGGUCAGACUCUACAGGAUUGAGAUUAAGAAAUCAAAUAUUCUAUAAAAUGUAGAUACACAACUCAUUUGGAUAUAUUUAAGUGAGACUCAACAAUAUUAUUUGAGACACAAAUCUAUCUAACUAAUCCAAAUUUUACUCAUUUUUACUCCAAACAUUUACUGGACUGAUUUAAAUAUUAAAAUCACUCCUUUCUAAUCCUCUGCUGUACGUUCAAACCUGAGGCCUUAAAUAGAAACACACAAGUAUCUGAUUGAAGGAACUUCUGCAGAGUCCUGGUUCCAGAACAUGAUAGAAUUAUAGACAAACUUUAACAAAAGCUGCCUGAGAGUUUACAGGUUUUUAUGUUGGAUUUCUUCAGUAAUUUAAUGAGUUAUCAGCAAAAAUCAAGUGUUCAUUUGAUGAACUUCAUUUCCUAAAACAUCCAGAAUUGGAGCUCAUAUCUUUGGCAGCUGUAAAGUUUCUGCUCCUUCAAAGUUCACAACACAAUGAAUGAAUUCCUAAAACACUCUCAAUGCUGGAGAGCGUUUGUGAUGCUGAAGCAGUGAUCAGUUUUUCUGUUUCUUCUCUGGAGAUGCACAAUGAGGGACGUCUGCAGAGACUGAGAAAGAGUCUCACCACAUCCUGACAUGAGGAAAAAGACUUUAUUGAAGACUACAAGGAGAAAAACUAUCAGACAGCAGACGGCUGCAUUCAAGUCUGUAGCUGCUGAAUUCAUGGAUGAAUCAUCUGGCACUAGAGAGGAAGACCAUCAAACAUCCACGUCAGCUGAUGGAGGUCCAAGAGUCUCACCCAACAAACAACCUACAGAGUGAAGACCUCCAAUCUGAUUGGACGGCCUCCUAUUCAGACACGUGUGAACAAAUGCCUCUAAGCUGAUUUGUUUUCAAAAAUAAAUCUAGUUUGAGUCCUAAUCUAUGCCUGUGUGUUUGCUUCUUUACAUCGCUGUUAACAGUUUAGGCUGUUAGAUUGUUCCAGAUAAGACAAGUACAAGAUUCUUCAGAGCUGUUCUACCACGAGCCUGACAGGAAGAACUCCAACAGCUACUGAAUGUUCCUGUGGUUCCCUCAAUGCUACAGGAGGAGCCCUACGAGGACGAGCCGGUCCACCUGAUGGCGGCCAGUCGCUGCGGUUCAAAGCCAACACCGACUACGUGGACUUCUACUGGACCACAUGGAGGCCUUCAAACCGGACCAACAAGUUCAGCGACUCCCCGACUCGUGGGUCUGAGGACGCCGCCGAGCCUCGGUCCAGCCGGCCUCCUGUCUGUGGGUGUUUGAGUGCUGAGAGGUUUGUGGAUGUAAGUGAACGUUCUGUGUUGAAACAGCAGCUUUGGACUCAGUAACGCUGGGAAAAACCAAGAGCUCCUUUAUUUGUGACUUCCACUAAAAAAACUGAAGAAAAUAAGUUUGCCAGGGUUCUGACUGAUAACAGAUUAUUAAAUAAUGAAAAUAAUAGUUUAAAUAUUCCUUUAAACAAUCCUUUUAGGUCAACAUUUCCUUUACACUGACUUCUUGGUAUAUGUACAAGUAUUUUGGGUGGAAUAUACCAUUAAGCCCAAUGUUCAAGGGUUCUUCUGGGAAUAUACCAUUAAACCAACCUCUUAGGUAAAUGUUCCAGAAUGUUGGGUAGAAUAUACCAUCAGAUAAACCUUUUAGGUCUACAAUGGAAGAUUUUAAAGUAGAAUAUUACUCCAAACCAUCCUUUAGGUCUACAGUUAAGGUGGAAUACUCCUUUACACCAAGAUUUUUUGGUCUACAUUGAAGGAUUUUAGGUGGAAUAUUCCUUUUAACAAACUUUUUAAGUUUAUGUUCAAGGAUGUUGGGUGGAAUAUACCAUCAGACCAACCUCCAAGGUCUACAGUAGUGAAUUUUAGGUGGAAUAUACCAUUAAACUCAUCUUUUAGGUCUACAUUGGAGGAUUUUAGGUGGAAUUUUCUUCCAAACCGUCUUUCAGUCUACAUGUAAGGAUGUUUAGGAUGGUAUAUUCUUCCAAACCAACUUCUCAGGUCUACAUUUCAGGUGGAAUAUUCCUCCAUAAUAACUUUUUUUGUCUACAUUGAAGGAUUUUUUCUAAACCACCCUUUGGGGUCUAUAUUUGAGGUUUUAGGUGGAAUAUUCCUUUUAACCAGCCCCUCAGGUCUCUGAGGAUUUUGGAUGGAAUACUCGGUUAAACCAACAUUUUAGGUGCAUGUCCAAGGAUUUUUGGUGGAAUGUUCCUUUAAGGUGGAUGUGUGAGGACCUUGUACGUGGAAUACUUCCUGAAACCAACCUAAAUUUCAUGUUUUUUCAAACAUCAAGUGAAAAACCUCCAUCCAGACUCCUCAUAAUGAUGUUUGAGAUUUAUGCUGCUGUUAUUUGUUUAGUCCAGACUAAAUGACAGAAAUCUUUGUCAGUUUGCAUCAGUUCUAUUCAGAUAUUUGACGCCACAGCCCAAAAAAACACGGCAGCUAAAGGUCAACAUGUCCAUGGAGAUGAGGUAAACGCAUCGUGUUACAAACUGCAUUUGACGUUUCAGAUGUGUUUCUGUCUUUGUGCUUGUUGGGAAUGUCUAAUUAUUCCAGGAAGUGAAAACUGGAUGCAACAGGUUUGGACUUCUACCCCCAAAGACGAUCCCACAGACCUGGCAGUGGUAGAUCUGAGGUCCAUGUCGGUACGAGGACUAACUUUAAAGCUUUAUUCUUUCUGGAAAAAAACAUCUUUGACCUGCUGUCCCUGUUCAGCUGUUUGUUGUGGAAACCUUUGGAAGAACAUCAGAUUUUCCUCCUGCUGAUGGUAAGACGUGCAGUUUACUAAUUUAAACUUUCAGGAAUGAUGUGUUCAUGGGUCCGUCAGUGAAUCUAACUGGUUGGUUUGUUCUGUGAUGAGGAAUGAGGAACCCGGGUUAUUACCCAGAUUACAAUGAUGGUUCUACUAUGGAACCAGUUUGACAUGUUCAGGUGUUCUUUGUGUGAAAACUCAGAGAUUUCAGGGAUCAGAAGGUGGUUUUCAACUUUCUUUGUUAACUUUCUGCUUCAACUUUAAACUAAAUUUCCUUCAGUAACCCAGCCCUCUGGACUUCCAGGAAGCUGUGCUCCGAUUGGCUGUCCAGGUGGCUGUGUUCCUAUUGGCUGUCCAGGUGGCUGCUUGGUGUUAUCAGUAACACCUGAGCAGCUCAGUGUCUUCCUGCUUUAUUUAGCUGCAGACAAACAUUUCCUCUGUUUCUCUUCACCAGUGAACUGGGUUUGGCUCCAUUGCUUCAGUUUGUUCUUUAGGUGUUGGCUUGCAGCUUCCAGCAGUAAAAUCAUCUUUAAUGUGUUUCUUGGUGUGUUUUAGGGCUUUGUACUGGAUAGUUGUCUUGGUAAAUGUGGUUCUUCAGCCACAGUUAGCACAUGGUGCUAAUGUGUGCAGUGAUUAGUGGAUUUGGUGCAGCUGAGUUGUGUCUUUAUCUCGGCUGUAGUGAGUCUUUAGAGGUUUUUGCUCAGACACAUUCUGUAUUCUUGUGAACCAGCGUUGGUUGUCCAGAAGGUAAGAGUUCCUGUCCUGAUUCUCUGUUCUCAGAGGUUCUCUGGUAGGCUGCAGGAGACUUUAGCGUUUGGGUUGUGCUAGUUUGGUUUUUGUAUGGUUUCAUUUGGACGAUUAUCUUGAGGCCCCUCCAUGUGGUUUAGUGAGGUUUUCUGGAACAGUUCUACAAAGCAACCUGCAGCAGAAGAGACUUUGAGAGUUUUUAGGAAGUUCUGGAGACCAGACUUUAGAGCAGCAGAAACAUUUGUCAGCAGUUUGAGCAGGAGAAGGUGAUCUUCAGAGUAGAAAUGAGACAGAAACCUUCUUGACCCGUGUGGUGAGGUCCUGUACCAAGAGUUUGAGCAGGUUGUGAAGAGUCUGUAGUUCUUUGUUCUGAAAGCACAAGAAGAGUCGACUCAUUAAAGGAGAAAACAGGAGAUAUUGUUGGUUCUUCUGUCGCUCUGCUGUUUCCUUAGACUGAAUAUCAAGUUUAUAUGUUAAAUGAUUUCCCAUGUGAGCCCAAGAAGACUUCAAUAAACUCCCUCCAUCCCCUGAACACAUUUUAUUACCAUGUUAAAUUUUUUAUUUAAAAAUGUUACUGAGUUUUAAUCCUAGUUUUAGCAUAGUUUUUUCUCUUUGCUUGUUUAGUUUUGUCAUCUGUGUAAAAGGUGCUAAACAAAUAAAGCUGAAUUGAUAAACAGAA